rnacentral:lncRNA from 1 species
ACUAAAGUGAGAAUCCCCACGCAUGCCCGGAACCCCUGUCCUCUCUAGAGGUCACCAUAAUUAAUUUUGUGUCUAUCAGCCCUUUCUGUCUCUCCCUUUUAUUUCCCUAUUAGAUGUCUUUAUUUAGAAUGCACUGAUUUUUGUGCUCCUGCUUAUCUCAACUUUACAAAGCACACCAAUGAAGGAGGUGGAGCCAGAAGACAAAAGCUGUGAAAACUGGAAAAGUGAGGAGAUAGAAGCAGGUGGUACUCUGCGUAAACCGUGAAAAAGAUUAUGAAAAUAUCUGCAAAUCUUGUGCCAUCUCCAAAUAUUCCAACAUAAAUAUUUGCUAGAGCCUGGUCCAACUUUGCAGUUCAAGAGAAGGACAGAAGGU